AUUGAACGCUGGCGGCAGGCCUAACACAUGCAAGUCGAACGGUAGCACAGAGAGCUUGCUCUCGGGUGACGAGUGGCGGACGGGUGAGUAACGUCUGGGAAACUGCCCGAUGGAGGGGGAUAACUACUGGAAACGGUAGCUAAUACCGCAUAACGUCGCAAGACCAAAGUGGGGGACCUUCGGGCCUCACACCAUCGGAUGUGCCCAGAUGGGAUUAGCUAGUAGGUGGGGUAAUGGCUCACCUAGGCGACGAUCCCUAGCUGGUCUGAGAGGAGGAACAGGCACACUGGAUCUGAGACACGGUGCAGACUCCGAGGGGAGGCAGCAGUGGGGAAUAUUGCACAAUGGGCGCAAGCCUGAUGCAGCCAUGCCGCGUGUAUGAAGAAGGCCUGCGGGUUGUAAAGUACUUUCAGCGGGGAGGAAGGCGGUGGAGUUAAUAACUUCACCGAUUGACGUUACCCGCAGAAGAAGCACCGGCUAACUCCGUGCCAGCAGCCGCCGCGG
rnacentral:rRNA from 1 species